rnacentral:rRNA from 1 species
CCUACGGGAGGCUGCAGUGAGGAAUAUUGGUCAAUGGACGAGAGUCUGAACCAGCCAAGUCGCGUGAAGGAUGACUGCCCUCUGGGUUGUAAACUUCUUUUAUAAAGAAGUAAAACGAGGCACGUUUGCCUUUUUGCAUGUACUUUAUGAAUAAGGAUCGGCUCACUCCGUGCCAGCAGCCGCGGUAAUACGGAGGGUCCGAGCGUUAUCCGGAUUCAGUGGGUUUAAAGGGUUCGUAGGUUGUUUUAUAAGUUAGCGGUGAAAUACCGAUGCUUAACAUCGGGGCUGCCGCUGAUACUGUAGGACUAGAGAUCGGAUGCAGCAGGCGGAAUGUGUAGUGUAGCGGUGAAAUGCAUAGAUAUUACACGGAACACCGAUUGCGAAGGCAGCUUGCUAGGCCGGAUCUGACACUGAUGCACGAAAGCGUGGGGAUCGAACAGGAUUAGAUACCCCUGUAGUC